AGGGUCACAAAUAGUAUUGUUUCACUUUAUUCAUUGUUGGUUUGAGUGUUUUAUAACUCUGAUGUUCUGGUUUAAUCUCAGUUUCCUCGACAAGGCAUGCAGCAGACGCAGCAACAGCAGCAGACGGCAGCUCUGGUCCGACAGCUCCAGCAGCAGCUCUCAAACACUCAACCUGGACAGAACACCAACCCAUAUUACUGAGUAUGUGAAAGCGUUUCAUAGGUGGUGAAGAAAAUGUAGAUGAUAUAAGGAGGACCGUUUGAGACGUGACGAACCGCACUGGGUUGUCUCUGAAGUAGAAUGUUUUUCAGACACCCAUAGAAGGUUUUGUUGAUCGAAGCGGUGGAAGAGCUUAUGUAAAAAGAAGUACAGGAAAUUAUAAGAAUAUUGCAACCUUUUAUUUUAUUUCGAUUUGUACAAUUUUUCAGUUUCGUGUAUUUCUCAUUAAAAAAAAUCAUGUCAA